rnacentral:rRNA from 1 species
UACGUAGGGUCCGAGCGUUGUCCGGAAUUACUGGGCGUAAAGAGCUCGUAGGUGGUUUGUCGCGUUGUUCGUGAAAACUCACAGCUCAACUGUGGGCGUGCGGGCGAUACGGGCAGACUAGAGUACUGCAGGGGAGACUGGAAUUCCUGGUGUAGCGGUGGAAUGCGCAGAUAUCAGGAGGAACACCGGUGGCGAAGGCGGGUCUCUGGGCAGUAACUGACGCUGAGGAGCGAAAGCAUGGGGAGCAAACCGG